GGUUAGUAUAGCGGUUAGUAUGUCUGCCUGUCACGCAGAAGACCGGGGUUCGAUUCCCC
rnacentral:tRNA from 15 species